AUUGAACGCUGGCGGCAGGCCUAACACAUGCAAGUCGAGCGGUAGCACAGGGAGCUUGCUCCUGGGUGACGAGCGGCGGACGGGUGAGUAAUGUCUGGGAAACUGCCUGAUGGAGGGGGAUAACUACUGGAAACGGUAGCUAAUACCGCAUAACGUCGCAAGACCAAAGAGGGGGACCUUCGGGCCUCUUGCCAUCAGAUGUGCCCAGAUGGGGUUAGCUAGUAGGUGGGGUAACGGCUCACCUAGGCGACGAUCCCUAGCUGGUCGGAGAGGCGGACAGGCAACACGGGAACUGGGACACGGACCAGACUCCUUCGGGAGGCAGCAGUGGGGAAUAUUGCACAAUGGGCGCAAGCCUGAUGCAGCCAUGCCGCGUGUAUGAAGAAGGCCUUCGGGUUGUAAAGUACUUUCAGCGGGGAGGAAGGCGAUAAGGUUAAUAACCUUGUCGAUUGACGUUACCCGCAGAAGAAGCACCGGCUAACUCCGUGCCAGCCGCCGCGGUAACAC
rnacentral:rRNA from 1 species